CCUACGGGAGGCAGCAGUAGGGAAUCUUCCGCAAUGGGCGAAAGCCUGAUGGAGCAACGCCGCGUGAGUGAAGAAGGGUUUCGGCUCGUAAAACUCUGUUGUUGGAGAAGAACGUAUGUGAUAGUAACUGAUCAGUAGU
rnacentral:rRNA from 1 species